UGGGGAAUAUUGCGCAAUGGACGAAAGUCUGACGCAGCGACGCCGCGUGUGGGAGGAAGCUCUUCGGGGUGUAAACCACUGUCAGGAGGGAAGAACGGCGCCGGUUCGAACAGUUCCGGCGAUUGACGGUACCUCCAAAGGAAGCGCCGGCUAACUCCGUGCCAGCAGCCGCGGUAAGACGGAGGGCGCGAGCGUUAAUCGGAAUUACUGGGCGUAAAGCGUGCGCAGGCGGCCGCGCAAGUCAGGUGUGAAAUCCCCGAGCUUAACUUGGGAAUUGCGCUUGAAACUAGAUCGCUAGAGUACGGCAGAGGGGGGUAGAAUUCCACGUGUAGCAGUGAAAUGCGUAGAGAUGUGGAGGAACACCGAUGGCGAAGGCAGCCCCCUGGGCCUGUACUGACGCUCAUGCAUGAAAGCGUGGGGAGCAAACAGGAUUAGAUACCCUCGUAGUCCCUGAGCGGGCUGGCAAGGCGCAU
rnacentral:rRNA from 1 species